AGGUUUAUCUUUUUUUUAAGUCAAUUUAUUAAUUUAAUUUCACUCUUACUGUAAUUGUUUAAACACUAUCCAUUAUGUUGUCUUUUGUUUCCUUCAUUGCUAUUUAACAGGAGGUUCUUCAUGAAGGAACUAUGAAGCAAGACUAUACAGAGGUUUCAUGAAUUUGUCUUUGUUGUAGUUAAAUGGUAAUUAUUUUCCUUGUAAAUCUUUAAGAGCUGCGAUAAAUAGAAAUUUAUAUCUUCGCUUGCUAUUAACAGUAGUUUUACUGUCAGUGCUUAGGAUGUGGAAUGUUCACCUCUCCACUUCUCAUUAUCGCGAUGUAUUUUACUUAUUAAUUUUUUCUUUUCUUCCCCAUUUUGUACUGGUUUUGUAGAUAAGAAUGGAGCAGUCGGAUUUUGUAUUCGAAGUUGUUUUCCCAUUUCCUUGCGGAUUCAGAGUAACUUCUUAACAAUUUGCGAUUGCCCUGUGAGUUCCAUUUUCUUUCUCUCUGUUUUGUUUUUGCUUUCCCGUUGGUCAUAAUGUUUUUCUUUUUCUAUUAAUACCAAUUUUCAAAUUACCUUGUCAAUAACAUGUUUUAGAUUUUAACCAGGAUGCUGCUCAUGUUCACCACUUCAAAGGUAGCAAGCACUUCCAGAUACUAAUUUGUUGUCUUUGUUGUUUCGUUCUUUUUGUGCGUG
rnacentral:lncRNA from 1 species